rnacentral:rRNA from 1 species
AUUGAACGCUGGCGGCAGGCCUAACACAUGCAAGUCGAACGAGUGGCGGACGCGUGAGUAUUAUCUGGGAAACUGUCCGAUAGAGGGGGGUAACUCCUGGAAACGGUAUCUAUUAUCGCAUACCAUCGGAUGUGCCCCGAUGGGAUUAGCUAGUGGGUGGGGUAACGGCGCACCUACGCGACGAUCCCUAGCUGGUCUGAGAGGAUGACCAGCCACACUGGAACUGAGACACGGUCCAGACUCCUACGGGAGGCAUCAGUGGGGAAUAUUGCACAAUGGGCGCAAGCCUGAUGCAGCCAUGCCGGGUGUAUGAAGAAGGCCUUCGGGUUGUAAAGUACUUUCAGCGAGGAGGCGUUACUCGCAGAAGAAGCAUCGGCUAACUCCGUGCCAGCAGCCGCGGUAAUAC